rnacentral:lncRNA from 1 species
CGGACGAAAUUAUUUUAAGAGGUGGAGAAUGUAAUGUACCGAAAAUUCGAAAAAUAAAAAUGUCGAACUUUAGUCAAAUUGACCAAAGUGCGAGGAUGGUACACUUCGGAAAGUCCGAAGGUGUUAAAAUGAUUAAAAGUGAGUUACGGGAGGUUUUCGAGAGCUAUAGAAUCAAAAUCAGCAUUCUGCAGUUUUGAGCUCUCGGGGACCGGUCCCUGGUGGGAGAGACCGGUCCCCGAACGCGUAUGAAAUGAGACAGCCGAAAAAUCGGCUAAGUCCUGAGAAACCAGCUCUCGGGAACCGGUCCCUGCCUGAGAGACCGGUCCCCGAGAGACCGGUCCCCCAAGGAGAGACCGGUUGCACUGCGCGCAGCAGCUCUGGCUGCGCUGGGACAACGUUCGGGAACCGGUCCCU